rnacentral:rRNA from 1 species
UGGGGAAUAUUGGACAAUGGGCGCAAGCCUGAUCCAGCCAUGCCGCGUGAGUGAUGAAGGCCUUAGGGUUGUAAAGCUCUUUUGUCCGGGAAGAUAAUGACUGUACCGGAAGAAUAAGCCCCGGCUAACUUCGUGCCAGCAGCCGCGGUAAUACGAAGGGGGCUAGCGUUGCUCGGAAUCACUGGGCGUAAAGGGCGCGUAGGCGGACUUUUAAGUCGGAGGUGAAAGCCCAGGGCUCAACCCUGGAAUUGCCUUCGAUACUGGGAGUCUUGAGUUCGGAAGAGGUUGGUGGAACUGCGAGUGUAAAGGUGAAAUUCGUAGAUAUUCGCAAGAACACCGGUGGCGAAGGCGGCCAACUGGUCCGAAACUGACGCUGAGGCGCGAAAGCGUGGGGAGCAAACAGG